AAAGAAAGAAAGAAAGAAAGAAAGAAAGAAAGAAAGAGGAAGGAAGAAAGAAAGAAAAAGGAAGGAAGAAAGAAAGAAAGAAAGAAAGAAAGAAAGAAAGAAAGAAAGAAAGAAAGAAAGAAAGAAAGAAAGAAAGAAAGAAAGAAAGAAAGAAAGAGAAAGAAAGAAAGAAGAAAAAAGAAAAGAAAAAAGAGAGAGAGAGAGAGAGAGAGAGAGAGAGAGAGAGAGAGAGAGAGAGAGAGAGAGAGAGAGAGAGAAGCAGCUAGGUGGCUAAGUGGACUGAGCCAGACUUAGAGAUGGAAGGUCCUGGGUUCA
rnacentral:lncRNA from 1 species